AAAGAAACAAACAAAAAAAAAAACUCGUAAUUUUCAUAACCCCUGUUUGAUUUUAUCUAUCCUCUCAAAAUUAAUUCUUUACAAUCACAAUCUCAGUAGGUUGAUCACAAACUGAGUAAUUUUGGUAUCUAUUAUUGUUCUCAGUAGGUUGAUCACAAAAAGAAAACCAUUCUACAUAACAUAAGUAAGAGCGAAAGCGAGAGAAAGUAACGAAGAACCAUAGCACCCCAAAUAUAUUCUUCUUCAAGCAUCACCAGUUGUGGACGAUGAUCAUGAUAUCGCAUACGAGGAUGGACCAGUUGAUGGAUGAUGUUAUGAUAAGUGGUAACUAAAUAUUUUUGCUUAUAUUUGAUUGUAAUUGUGAUUGUGAUAUUGGUAGGAAAUAGAAAUUUGGUAAACACAUUACCAACUGAUAUUUUUUGGGGGUAAAAAAGGUUGACGUUGAUGAUGACGAGAAAGAAAAGGAAAGACUAUUAGAGAAGCCUAUGGAAUCAAUCUGCUGAAAUUGUAGUUAAGAUAGCAGAAAUUGCAGACAUGAUUUGGGGGAAGGAAACGAUAGCUUACAACAUAGGUUGAAGAUAUGUUGCAUUCAAAGAUUCACAGGGAUUAGAGAUUGCUAUUCUUUCUUCCGUAUGUUUGCUAUUUUCCUUUCUCAUUUUGUCAUGACAUUCAUAGUUGAGCUAAAUAGAUGAAUAAAUGGUCUAGGGAGUGAUAUUUGUUAGUUGGUUCGGAGGAGAAAAUUUUUGAUGGGGGCAAAUCUUGAAAGGGACAUGGGAACCAAUAAAAACCCGACAUGUGUUUUUCAUUUUUAGACGGUUUUUACCAAAUUUAAUUUAAGAUUUUAUACUACUA